rnacentral:rRNA from 1 species
GACGAACGCUGGCGGCGUGCUUAACACAUGCAAGUCGAACGGAAAGGCCCUGCUUUUGUGGGGUGCUCGAGUGGCGAACGGGUGAGUAACACGUGAGUAACCUGCCCUUGACUUUGGGAUAACUUCAGGAAACUGGGGCUAAUACCGGAUAGGAGCUCCUGUUGCAUGGUGGGGGUUGGAAAGUUUCGGCGGUUGGGGAUGGACUCGCGGCUUAUCAGCUUGUUGGUGGGGUAGUGGCUUACCAAGGCUUUGACGGGUAGCCGGCCUGAGAGGGUGACCGGCCACAUUGGGACUGAGAUACGGCCCAGACUCCUACGGGAGGCAGCAGUGGGGAAUAUUGCACAAUGGGCGGAAGCCUGAUGCAGCAACGCCGCGUGCGGGAUGACGGCCUUCGGGUUGUAAACCGCUUUCGCCUGUGACGAAGCGUGAGUGACGGUAAUGGGUAAAGAAGCACCGGCUAACUACGCG